CUUCCCUUUUGUAAAGCAAUGAGCUCUUUCUGAAUGAUCUUGAAAACACACGGCUCCUUUCCUCUCUGUUUCCCCCACUUUUGCGUAGAGCCGUGACUUGGGAGAAACACUUCUGUAUUAGAAGAGUGGUGAGAGGGAGCAUAAAUGGAGUUGGUCAACUCUGGGUCCAGAAGCCAUCGUGGGUGGAGGGACUCGAAACCUCAGUGCCACUCUGCCCCAUCGAGGCCAAGUCAGAUUGGAAGCCCCAUUUCGCCAGUGUCUGAAUUCUUAAGCGAUGCUAGAAAUCUAGAUUUCUAAGAAUUGUCUUGGGGCUGCAGUUGAUAAAGGAAUCUACAAUCAACUUUUUAACCCAGUCCAGAGUUAUUGUAUGUACACUCGAGACCCAAAGGAAGGACAGAGAAUUUUCCUCACCUCAGCCCAAAAGGAGGCUGGAAUGCAUGCUUGCCUGCCACAGUUUCCACUUACUUACCACCAUCAGUCAGCAGGCUUUUAGGAGAGAACUGCACGUGUGAUUUAUUUGCAAAUCCUUUCAGGUCCUGGAGGAAAGAUACUUGGUACACAAUGCACUUUGUCAUCACGUGUCAACAUCCCCUCAAUGCAGAGAGCAGCACUACACGAUGUAAAGGUGGAAUUGGAUUGUGAUGGGAUCCUUAAAUCAGCAUUUCAUUUAGAACUACAGCAUUUGCAGAGCCAUUUGCAAUUGAUGCCAGCCCCUUGGAGGGGGUCAGCGUGUAGAAGACAAAGGACAGCCAUAAAGCCACUGAAUGCAAACUUUAUAUUUACAGUCAGUAAGUAAGUUUAUAAAUAUAUAUUACAUUCUUACAAUCUACAGUACAUUCUACACGCAGAUGGAUUUGGAAGCGGGCAGCGGCUGCAGUAUUCAACAGAACAUGACACAGGUAAGAAUGGAAAGAAAUAUGAGGACGUUACUGAAAGCAAAGGAUUCUCAUGGAAAAGGGGUGACAGCUUAAUCACCCAACCAACCAAACAAGGUAGGUAAGCUUGCGGACAGGAGCAGGUGACUUACUGGCUGCAGAAACCUCAGUCUCAAGAGCACCACAGUUGCAGGGGAGAGGGCUAAGGUUGGGAGGGUAAACUGGUGAAAUUUACACACACAUGAUCUAAAGAGAAUUCAAUUCUAUGGAGAGGAAGAAGGAGUAAAGACACACACUCAAAAUUACAGAGAUGGAGAGGAAGCAGGGAGAUAGAUAGGUUCAAAGGAGGAGAGAGAUACAGAGACAGACACACAGAGAGACUGGAAAACAGACAACUGAAGAGCAGAGAGAGAGAAAGAAAAUGACAGAGGGAAAAAUAGAAGAUCAAUUCAACAGCACGGCCUCUUCUGCCCACCACCCGCUGCCCCCGACCAUCUUUCUCAGGAUCCUAUCUGGCUGGCAAUCACCCAACACACCAUUCUCUACCUUGGAGUGAGCGUGAGAUGAGGCAGGAAUUCUCUGAUGUAUCCUUGCCCCCAUCUUCAUAGGCUUCAUAAGUGAAGGGAUUCAGGGAUAUCCAGAGUCAUGCUGAUCUUAAGCAAUGCUGAACCUUUCGGGGCUGACUGCAGGACCAAGUGCUUGCAAACCUGCAUCUUCACCACACGCACUGAUGCCCCUCAUCCCUUCGCACCUCCAAGAUGAAGAAGGUUUCUGUGCUGUCCGGUGUGUGUGAGGCUGAGCUUCCUGCUGGAUCCACCACUUUCACACCCAGAACCCCCUAACUAACUUCACAUGCCCUGCACGUUCCACACAGGCACCCCGAUUUGUCUCAACAGCCUCGAGGCCACAUUCUUGGACAGGAGAUCUGCCAUGAACAGUGAAAGACCCAUCCCAAGUGGCCCUGUUUUCUUUCUAGUAAAGCAAGGGAAUGUAUAUCCCCUGGCAUGGAAUUCACCGCGACCAAAAACCAUGUUUUUGAGACCAGCCUCUUCAAAGAUGGACGGCGUGGGACAUAUGCCCAAGUUGCGGGGGGAGCUUCUCUACAGAAUGUCACUUGGGAGUUGACACAAAACCCAGGGGGAGAAAAAAGACCCAGCAAAUACUACAAACUGCCCUCUCCCUCCCCCACCCACAGGUGACCAACGGCUUUGGGGAGGAUGGCAAUGCAAUGGAGGAAUAGAAAUGGAUACAUUGUGAACUUGAUAUGAAUCAAAAGAGCCUGGUUCUUUGAACCUGAUUCAAAUUCUAUGCCCAGUAUCCUUAGUUUACAAAUAAAGAAGUACUCUGAAGGGCUCAGAGGAUUUGCGUCCGUGUGUUUGUCCUUGGCAUGUAGUUACAAAGGUAUAUGUGGUCUGUUAGCCCACAUGUUCCCUUUCAGUCCUUGUCAGCCACUUCCUUGGCCUGUCCAUGAUCUGAGCCAGCUCUGGCCCAGCCUUUGAGAGACAAUGACUCACAACCAUGCCUCCCACAGCUGACGGCGGCACUGGACUGCCUGUGA
rnacentral:lncRNA from 1 species